UAUGUUAAUCUAGGUAUUUCUAUGAUCGUGAAGGAAUUCACAGAUUUCGAAUCAGAGCCCCGGAUGUUCCGAUUAAAUAAUUUGAAGUUUAUGUUUUAUAAUAACUGUCAGAUCGUACGAUCGUGAGCGAUCCGACCGUCCGAUCUCGACCAAACUUGCAGGACAAGUGUCCUAUACCUUGUAGAACCCAUAGGAACUUUCGGAUCGAAAUUUGGAGGUUAUGGGCCCCGUGGGCUCGUUUGACCAGGGUUAGGGUAGUUUGACCCUUGGUUGACCGUGAGUCUCCCGGAGUAAUCUCACCUUCCUAAGGGGAUUAUCA
rnacentral:lncRNA from 1 species